UUUUGGAGGGAUGCACUUAUUUGUGCAAACCAAUCAUCUUCGGAUGUUGUGACGCAGCAUAUCGGCGGCUUGUCCGCUGAUAUUCCGGAAAGUGUCCCCCCCCCCUAUCAACCUGAUGGUAGUCUAUUAGUCUACCAUGGUUAUUACGGGUAACGGAGAAUAAGGGUUCGACUCCGGAGAGGGAGCCUUAGAAACGGCUACCACAUCCAAGGAAGGCAGCAGGCGCGAAACUUAUCCAAUCUUGAAUAGAUGAGAUAGUGACUAAAAAUAAGAAGACCAUUCCUAUGGAACGGUCAUUCCAAUGAGUUGAUCAUAAACCUUUUUUCGAGGAACAAGUGGAGGGCAAGUCUGGUGCCAGCAGCCGCGGUAAUUCCAGCUCCACU
rnacentral:ncRNA from 1 species